rnacentral:rRNA from 1 species
ACGAACGCUGGCGGCGUGCUUAACACAUGCAAGUCGAACGAGAUGAUUGAAAGCUUGCUUUGAAAGUCGAGUGGCAAACGGGUGAGUAACGCGUAGACAACCUGCCGCAAAGAUGGGGACAACAGUCCGAAAGGACUGCUAAUACCGAAUGUUGUCAUUUCUCCGCAUGGAGGGAUGAUUAAAGAUGGCCUCUACUUGUAAGCUAUCGCUUUGCGAUGGGUCUGCGUCUGAUUAGCUAGUUAGGUGGGGUAACGGCCUACCAAGGCGACGAUCAGUAGCCGGUCUGAGAGGAUGAACGGCCACAUUGGAACUGAGACACGGUCCAGACUCCUACGGGAGGCAGCAGUGGGGAAUCUUCCGCAAUGGGCGAAAGCCUGACGGAGCAACGCCGCGUGAAGUGAAGAAGGGUUUCGGCUCGUAAAACUCUGUUGACGGGGACGAAUGUGCGGAAUGCGAAUAGUUUUUCGCAAUGACGGUACCCGUCGAGGAAGCCACGGCUAACUACGUGCCAGCCGCGGC